rnacentral:misc_RNA from 1 species
GUGAAUCAUCAAAUUUUUGAACGCAAAUUGCACUCCCUUCGGAGAGUAUGCCUGUUCGAGGGCCAGCCUAAAAAAAAUCGACAUAGUCGCUGUUUCGCGGUGUCAUUCGUCGGCAUUUGGGUCAUCUUAAACCUUUGGGCUUUUUAAGCGGCUUAAAUUUUUCUCUACGAUCACACGAACGUUUCCAUGACUUUACUUAUUACACACGCUUAAGGUACCGAUCUUUAUUAUUCGCGGCCGUUGCAUCGGAUCG